GACGAACGCUGGCGGCGUGCUUAACACAUGCAAGUCGAACGAAGUGGCGAACGGGUGAGUAAUACGUGGGUAACCUUCCCUCCUUUUUGGGAUAAGCCUUGGAAACGGGGUCUAAUACCGAAUAAAGGGGGAUGGGCUCGCGGCCUAUCAGCUUGUUGGUGGGGUGAUGGCCUACCAAGGCGGUGACGGGUAGCCGGCCUGAGAGGGUGGCCGGGCACAUUUGGGCUGAGCUACGGCCCCGACGCCUACGGGAGGCAGCAGGGGGGGGAAUUGCACCAUGGGCGGAAGCCUGAUGCCGGGAAGGCGGGUGGGGGAUGAAGGCUUUUGGGUUUGAAACCUUUUUUGCCAACGAAAGGGUAGGUGGAGAAGAAGCGCCGGCUAACUACGUGCCAGCAGCCGCGGUAAUUC
rnacentral:rRNA from 1 species